GCCAGUAUGGCAUAGAGGUUUGAGUGUUGGACUAUGACUCUUGAGACCAGGGUUCGAUUCCCAACUCGGCCA